GGAGGUCCUCCUCCUAAAAAGUCUGCUCCUUCUGCUGUGGUAAGAAGCAAUAAUUGGAUGAGAGGCCAAGGUCCCAUAUCAUGUGGAAGAGAGAAUUAUGGAGGUCCUACACGUAGACGGCCAAUCUCUUCCUGGAGAAAUGACCACAUGUCUCUAAGAGACGAUGGUUAUGCAACUAAGGAGAGAAAUCAUCCAAGCUCCUGAGAA